GGCUUAUUAUGUGGCCGUUGGGAUCUGAACUCAGUUUCCAUUGUUGCAUAUUGCUUUGGUUAUGGUAUUUUACCAUGGUGAUGGACAGAAGGCUCAUCUUUUGGAUAUGAGUAAUUGGUGGAACAACCUAGGACCAUGGCAGCCAAUGGUCCCCAGACAAAUACUUGUUGAAGUACAGUUAAAGAAGAUGGGAGGAGAUGUUGGCC